rnacentral:rRNA from 1 species
CAGCUCCAAUAGCGUAUAUUAAAGUUGUUGCAGUUAAAAAGCUCGUAGUUGGAUCUAGGGACGCGCAUUUAUUUUUAAGCAUUUGUAUUAUCGGGUCAAACUGAUGAUUGCAAGUGUUGCGGGCUCGGUCCGUUGGUCAUCCCACAAGGGUGGCUAGCGUGUUAACCGGCCCGCCCGUCCCCUCCUUCUGGAUUCCCGUUCCUGCUAUUGAGUUAGUGGGGACGUCACAGGGAGCUUAUCAUUGCCUUCACGGGCCAGUGGUAAGUUUCUGGGGCCCAGAUCGUUUACCGUGAAAAAAUUAGAGUGUUCAAAGCAGGCAGAUUCAAUUUUCUGCCACCGAAUACAUUAGCAUGGGAUAAUGGAAUAGGACCCUGUCCUCCUCUCUUCAGUUGGUUAAUUUACGUGUGAGGAUCAGGGUAAUGAUUAAUAGGGAUAGUUGGGGGCAUUAAUAUUUAAUUGUCAGAGGUGAAAUUCUUGGAUUUAUGAAAGAUUAACUUCUGCGAAAGCAUCUGCCAAGGAUGUUUUCAUUAAUCAAGAACGAAAGUUAGGGGAUCGAAGACGAUCAGAUACCGUCGUAGUCUUAACCAUAAACGAUGCCGACCAGCGAUUAGGAGACGUUGAAUACAAAACACCACUUUAUAUAAUUCAGUACAUGGUCAGCAAUGGYUGUGUAUUGUUUGUAUAAAGUCCAGGUGAA